CACCUUUCAUCUACACUUGGUGGGGGAAAAAAAAAUCUUGUGAUGCAAUCUCCAUGAUGCUAUUGAUGCCAGAUCACAUACUAUCACAAUCAAGGUUUGCCAUCUCGGUAUCGAAAUCUCGUAUUGGUACCAUCUUAUCACAAUGUUAGUAUACGGUUCGAUACAAUAUGAGAUAGUGAUGAACACUUAAUUUAAAUCACUAGAGACAUUAAAUAUUAUGGUAAUUGAUAUUAUUUUAUUGGAUUUUGAUGCUCUCUAAUCUAUUUUGCAGGUAAUUGAAAGUUUGAAUUCAUACGAUUCAAAUUGGACUCAAAUCGGAUCAGAUUUGAGUGAACCAGGCAACCAGCUCCUAUUCCAGUGUGAAUGCGACUUAAAGAUCAAAGGUCAAGAAGCAACCUCUCCAAUCAAGGACCCAGAUUAAAAGAUAAAUGGAACCUAGUAUGAACACGACUUAAAUCUCAAAGGCUCAGAUUAAAAGAUCACUCUUCAUGAAGAUCCAAGUGUGAAUGCGACUUAUUAAUCAACAGAGGAGAAACAAUAUGAAGAUCCAAAGGUCCUUAUUCACGCUCCCAUCUCUCUUUUCAUGAAACCCUAACCUCCUUUCUAUAAAUAUACCCCAGCCCUCCUUUCUCAAUACAUCAGUCCCCUUAUGGGGUUCUUCAUCUUCUUCCCUCUCCCUUCCUCCUCUCCUCCAUCAAAGCUCUUCCCUUUCUCUCUUCCCAUCAAGCCAAUGCCUAAAUUUCUCUCCAAGUUACUGCCCACAUCUCUCCUUCUUUCUUCUCCAUAAGUCUAGAGGAGGUCCUAACCCUAGCACGCCUUCCAUCAAAUCUAGGAGAGGUCCUAAUACUAGUGCCACUAUCCUUUCUCUUCCAUAUAUCCUCUUCUAUCUAUCUUUCUUCCUUAGAGUUCCUAGACCAAGCCUUCCAACUAUCCUACCGCUGUCUACAUGAAGGAAGACGAAGGAUUCAAGAAGACACAUCCACUAUCGGGCGCAGCGAGAAGAUCAACUUGGUUUAAUUGUUUUGUAUCGCAAUUUUAUUUCUUUUUUCUUUAUGUAUGCUUUUUCAUUUGAUUAAUGAAAAAUAAUUUUAUUACAAUUUUCAUACUUCUUUCUUAGUUUCUUGCAAUCUAUUAUUCUUUUCUUUUGCAUUUUUAAAACAAUCAACUAAAAUCCCUUUGGAUAAUAUCCCGACUCACCCUAUCUAUAUAGUAGUGAGUAGGUUUAAUUUUGGUGUACUAUAACACGCAUCAAAUUUUGACGCCGUUGUUCGAGAUCUUGGCGCGAUUAUUUUGAAAAAAAUCAAAAAAAAAAUCUGUAAAAUAACCAAAGAAAAAAUAUUUUACUACUUUUUAAGUUUUUAUUUUUUGCUUUAGAUUGCUUGACUGACUUAGAUACUUUACUGUUUUAUAUUUCUAAUUGAUUAUUUCCUUCUUUUGCACUCUUAUUUUUCAUACUUUAUUUUGUUGAUUGGUAAUUUACUUUUUAUUGUUAAUUAAUUUACUUUAAUUGCUUAAUUAUCUUCUAUUUACUCUUUUUAAAAUUUAUAUCUUAUAUUGCUUUUUAUCGUAGAUUUACUGCUCUCUAGCUAGAUUACUUUAUUUGCAUGCCUACAAAAAUUUUUUGCUUUCUAUAGUCUAGUGAUUUACUACAUUCUAUAACUUAGAAUAAUUUAUUGAUUUAUAUAAUUAAAUUUUUUUAUUUUUUUAAGUAGAUUAGACUCCUUGCUUUUUAUUUAGAUUACAUAGUUACCUUAUAUUCUUAACUAUGAGAUUACCUUAUUUGCAUAGUUAAGUAGUUACCUUAUUUAUUAUUGCCCAUUAUUCUUAGUGAUUCACUGCUUUCCAUAGCUUAGAAUAAUUUAUUUUCUUAAAAGUAGAUUUGAUUUGUUGCUUUAUUUGUAGGUUACCUACUUGCUUUUAAAUUUUAGCAUUAUUUACUUUCCAUUUAGUUAGAUUCACUAGAUCUUCUAAUACCUAAUUAACCUAAUUUAAAAUUUACUUUUUAUUUCUUCUU
rnacentral:lncRNA from 1 species